CAUCCGGCCAUUUCUCAACAUGGACUUUAAUUGCGAGUGACGAUAGAAAAUUUUACAAACUAACAGUUUUUGGCUCUCCAUUAACAAGAGGGCUUGUUGGUCAGAUUUUAUGAUCUGAUCACAAACACACUUCAAAACGGUAUCAGAUAAAGUCGGCAAAAACGAUAAUGUUAGGGGUCCCAGUUCAUUGAACCACACCGAUCGAGUUGCUCCACUUUGUUUCGGAGAGCACCUCUGACUAACUUCUAGAGAAGAAACGGUAUAGGCCAAACUGUUCAGUAAAUCAUGAGGUGAAACAUUCGUAAAUGUACUUCCUUUAACCAAUUUCAUAGCCAAUUUUGUUGUUUCACAAUAUCGAUCAUAAAGGUCGGAUACGUCCCGAUUAUUACUUUGAUCAAUUAAUGCACCAUCGGCUAUCUUUAAGCGAGCAAGCAUUGCCGAGAUAAUUUUGCUGUUUAUCCAAGGUCUCAGGAAACAGCUUCUAAAAGUAUCUUUCGUGUCGGACAGAGAACUUCGAACUAAUUGAUAUUCAAAGCUCGAGGAAGACAUAGUACCGAUUUCCUCUAACCAACCAUUCAUGCUACGAGGGAAAUUAAGGGUGUCAAUGUUGAGACACAUUUUGGGGAUCUGAGGCAUAGGCAAUAACACAUUCGACAAUGACCUACAGAGAGGACACAUAAAAAAUUUAGCAGUAGAAUACUUGUAAUAGUAUUCACUUAACCCAGCGGUAACAUCAUUUCUAUACAUGGACCUAGCAACGUAAUAGUUUUUAAAACAACCUAAAUGCAUGAGAUGACCACAACCGGAGACAAAAACACCUCUUAUGUUAUUUCCUGGGGGAUAAGCACUUAAUAAACGAUCUUUUGAACGGUUGAAAACAACUGUAUCAUAUUUUUUUCCAAAUGGCCUCGAAUGAGAUUCCCUAUCUAAAUUAGGGGGAACACUAUAAAUUUCAUCCAAAAUGAUUUCGCUGUGAACAUCUGUUUUUCGAAGUAAUGAGCUUCCUUGAAUAAUGCCGAUCACUCCAUAUGGUGCUUGAUCGUUGCAUUCCUCUUGGCAAAGCAAACAAUUACCACGGAUAUGUUCAUGGUACUUAACUUCCUCCUCUGGCUCUUCUGUUGUAACUUCAUCUUCCGUUUGAUCUUCUCCGAUAUCGAAAUCGGUAUUUUGGGCAAGAAAAGAUGCUUGCUGAUCGCGAAACUGCUGCAUAAUUUUCUUCUGUUUCUCUAAAGCUAAUCUUUUCUUUUCCUGCGUUUUCUCAAUCUCGUUAGAAUCCGAAGUAGAAGAGGUAGUUGAGAGUUCAAAGUGUGUAGCUUCCAGCAUGUUGCUAUAUGCAGAUGGAUCAUUCUUUUGUAAGCCAGCCAAUACAGCAUUAACUUUUACAUGAACAUCUUUGUAUUUAGGAGACUUGAGAAUUGCAAAACAAAGUUCCGCUAAGCAGUACGCACUGCCACCAAAUUCUCUCAUAAUACUACUAUCAGUCGGAUAACGCUCAGCGCAUGAACGGGAGCAGAAGUCAUUUGAUUUCGAGAAUUCAUGAAUUUUCAUAGAGAUUAGACACAACUGAAGUGCAUCGCCCAGAAUAGUAUUUCCAAUAUCGGAUGAUCCAAAGGACUCCGCUUGAACAAGUGCAUACUCAAUCGCACGAAAAAUGAUAAGACUAAAAGUGCUCGCAUUGACGGCUGCAAAAAAUAUAUCAUGGCCGUCCUUCUCAAGAAAUCUAAUUUUUGGUUCUAUUAUAAUCGACUCAGCACUUACAUUAUUUUUCUUCGCCAAACGUUUUUUAAGGAUAGUAUCUGACUCCUCUCGUUCAUUUUUAUUAUAAUGAAAAUAAUAUGGAUCCACCAAAUCAUAAUAUUCGUCCUUCAAACUGUAAACGCCAAAAUCGUGGAGACCGUCAGGUGCUUUGUAGGAAGUUACUUCUUCUCGAAUUUUAUCAAAUGACAAACUCUCUACUAAAUUACUUGAAAUAGUAGACAGCAAUGCAGAAUAAGCAAGAGGACCAAAGCAUAGCUGUUGAGCUAAUCGAGUGCGAAUAAUAUCU